UGCCCUAGUAACGGCGAGUGAAGCGGCAACAGCUCAAAUUUGAAAUCUGGCCUCCUCCGGUGGUCCGAGUUGUAAUUUGCAGAGGGUGCUUUGGCGUCGGUAGCGGUCUAAGUUCCUUGGAACAGGACAUCACAGAGGGUGAGAAUCCCGUACGUGGUCGCCUGCCUUCGCCGUGUAAAGCCCCUUCGACGAGUCGAGUUGUUUGGGAAUGCAGCUCUAAAUGGGAGGUAAAUUUCUUCUAAAGCUAAAUACCGGCCAGAGACCGAUAGCGCACAAGUAGAGUGAUCGAAAGAUGAAAAGCACUUUGGAAAGAGAGUCAAACAGCACGUGAAAUUGUUGAAAGGGAAGCGCUUGCCGCCAGACUUGCCCGCGGUUGCUCAUCGGAACUUCUGCUCCGAGCACUCUUCCGCGGGCAGGCCAGCAUCAGUUUGGGCGACCGGAUAAAGGCCUCUGUCAUGUAUCUUCCUUCGGGAUGACCUUAUAGGGGAGGCGCAAUGCGGCCAGCCCGGACUGAGGUCCGCGCAUCUGCUAGGAUGCUGGCGUAAUGGCUGCAAGCGGCCCGUCUUGAAACACGGACCAAGGAGUCUAACAUCUAUGCGAGUGUUUGGGUGUCAAGCCCGGGCGCGUAAUGAAAGUGAACGGAGGUGGGAACCUUAGGGUGCACCAUCGACCGAUCCUGAUGUCUUCGGAUGGAUUUGAGUAAGAGCAUAGCUGUUGGGACCCGAAAGAUGGUGAACUAUGCUUGAAUAGGGUGAAGCCAGAGGAAACUCUGGUGGAGGCUCGCAGCGGUUCUGACGUGCAAAUCGAUCGUCAAAUUUGGGCAUAGGGGCGAAAGACUAAUCGAACUAUC
rnacentral:rRNA from 1 species